rfam:Planomicrobium sp. ES2 genome assembly, contig: CONTIG000001
AAUAGUUGAAAUCAUAAAGGUGCUUAUGUGUAACAGCAUGAGUUAAAAGGGAAGCCGGUUCGAAUCUGGCGCGGUCCCGCCACUGUAAGUGUGAGCAAUCUGUUGAGGCCACUGGAACAAAUUUCCGGGAAGGCACAGAAAGCGUUGAGCACGAGCCAGGAGACCUGCCUUUAUGAAACGCCCCAU